ensembl:snoRNA
AGCACUUAUGUGUCUGUCUUUGUUUAAUUUGUAACAAAGCCUUACAGACAGGUGCAAACAGUAAAUCCUCUUUUGCAACCCAGAACUCAUUGUUGAGUAUGACAUUUAGGUACAUGUAAGAAGGAAUAUG